rnacentral:rRNA from 1 species
UCGAGGAUCUUCGGCAAUGGGCGCAAGCCUGACCGAGCGACGCCGCGUGUGCGAUGAAGGCCUUCGGGUUGUAAAGCACUGUCGAGGGGGAGGAAGCUCCGCAAGGGGUUGACCUAUCCCUGGAGGAAGGACGGGCUAAGUUCGUGCCAGCAGCCGCGGUAAGACGAACCGUCCAAACGUUGUUCGGAAUCACUGGGCUUAAAGGGCGCGUAGGCGGACAUCCAAGUCCGGGGUGAAAGCCCCCAGCUUAACUGGGGAAGGGCCUUGGAAACUGCAUGUCUCGAGGGAGGUAGGGGUCUGCGGAACUUCGGGUGGAGCGGUGAAAUGCGUUGAUAUCCGAAGGAACGCCGGUGGCGAAAGCGACGGACUGGACCUCUUCUGACGCUGAGGCGCGAAAGCCAGGGGAGCAAACGGGAUUAGAUACCCCCGUAGUCC